rnacentral:rRNA from 1 species
UACGUAGGUGGCAAGCGUUGUCCGGAUUUACUGGGCGUAAAGAGCGCGCAGGCGGUCGUUCAAGUCGCGUUGUGAAAGCCCCCCGGCUCAACUGGGGAGGGUCACGCGAUACUGAUCGACUCGAAGGCAGGAGAGGGAAGUGGAAUUCCCGGUGUAGUGGUGAAAUUCGUAGAUAUUGGGAAGAACACCGGUGGCGAAGGCGGCUCUCUGGACCGAUACUGACACUGAGGCGCGAAAGCGUGGGGAGCGAACAGG